ACAUCGGAAAAUUAGUACUUAUUUAUUAACAAAUGAGCUUACUUCCACGCAUGCAUAUGGCAUCUAUAAAAUUCUGGUCACAGAGGCGACAACAUUUGGAUGUUUCAUUUUAGACAAAAGAAUUGCUUCCUUCCUAGAGUUCUCUACAUCAGAUGAAGACUGAAAAUAGCUAUGCAACAACAAAUGAGCACACGCUGACUUUGGAACAGCUGACAACUGGACUGCACAAACUCAGUAUAAAACCAAGUGCCGAAGUAUUAGCUUCAACCUCAAGAAAGCCAGAGCCUCCCAUUUUGUGAUUUUUUUAAUUAGCUACAUGCAGUGCAGGAUCACCUUCUGAAGCCGAGGCCCCGAAGCCGCUUCCCGCGGCAGCAGGGCUCCCACCAGACCUCCCCCAGAGCGGCGAGCAGCAG